AGGUUCAGGGUCUGAUUGCAACACCAAGGUCCACGAAUUGGAAGAAGACGCCAAGCAGGCAUUCGAGUCAACAAUGGUGUCGUGCCUCAAGGAGGUCAAGGGCGACACGCAGGACGUGAACCAGUUGAAGCAAGCCGUCUGCUCCACCCCAGUGCUCAAACGAAAGUUCUUGGAUUGCUUCAAGAAUGACCUCGCUGGCGCCUUGGUGGAAAACACCAUAUUCAACCACCAAAUUCGGUCGAAAGGCAGGGAAAUACUGAAGUGCUACGAAGAAUCGCUCAAGUGAAGCACGAGCCCCUUUGAGCUCGCGCCCGCGUCGGGAAACCAGAGGGGCGGGCAUCGCAUGCCGUGGCUGCCGACACGGAGCUUGGAAUAAAUGACGGCAAUUGUGGCUUUGUCAUUGAUUUUUGAA